rnacentral:rRNA from 1 species
CAGCCGCCGCGGUAAUACAGAGGGUGCAAGCGUUAAUCGGAAUUACUGGGCGUAAAGCGCGCGUAGGUGGUUCGCCAAGUUGGAUGUGAAAUCCCCGGGCUCAACCUGGGAACUGCAUCCAAAACUGGCGAGCUAGAGUAUGGUAGAGGGUGGUGGAAUUUCCUGUGUAGCGGUGAAAUGCGUAGAUAUAGGAAGGAACACCAGUGGCGAAGGCGACUACCUGGACUGAUACUGACACUGAGGUGCGAAAGCGUGGGGAGCAAACAGGAUUAGAUACCCCUGUAGUCCCUGUCUCUUAUAC